UCUAGUGUAGUCAAACCAAUGACGUAAGAUUUAAGCUCUUAAGGUAUAAAUUAUCCCUAGAA
rnacentral:tRNA from 1 species